rnacentral:lncRNA from 1 species
CGGGACUGGGAGCCUCCCAGGUGCUACAUCCGCAUCAUCAGCCUCAGGCCUCCCUUGGGGCCUCUCCCUUCAAACCACAGCAUCCUCAUCCCACCCCACCCCCAGGUAGGAUGCUGGUCGCUCAGCCUGGAGAGACCUUUUUAAUUUGAGGAUAAACAGACUGUCAUCCUGGCUCGGCCCUCUGUGGGCUUGCUGCUCCCCGCCCCCCUCAAUCCGCAGUGCACAGCCGCUCUGUUCUCCUGCCAACUUGGCAGCUCGUUGCUGCUGUUACUAUCAACACCUCUGAGGGAAAAAGGAGAGGAGUCGGUUCUGAUCGCCUAGUGCACUGAGCAACACAUUCAUACCGAGCCUGAGCACUCUGGAAUGUUUCCCGAGCUCCGAAGACUCCGGGUGGGGCAAGAAAGGUGGGAUCUGUGUUGCAGAGAACAGAUGGGCCGGAAAUCAGCCUGAGCUCGGAUCCGAUCAGCCCCAGUAGGAGCAGCGCUUUAGCAGAGAGACUGAAACCAGUCGAGGACACACACAAACCCGCCCCUCCUCCCCACCUCCCACCCCCGCCCCUGCUCCCCACCUCAGGGAGUACUGGGAGGGAAUAAGAAGAGCUGCUGAAGGUUGUGGCUGGAGCCUCAGAGGUACAGGACCGGAAUAUCGGUAAAUGGAUCUUGCUGUUACCUCAUCUCUUGUCACAGUCCAAAUAACAUGGAUGGCUUCAGUUCAAGAGAUGGUAGAUCAGGGUUUUGUGGUGUGGGUAGGAAAAUGCUUUUGGGAUUUUGUUUAGGGAUGUAUGAAGAACUGGGUCUUUUUCUUUCACCAUCCUUGGACUCCAUGUCUCCUUUACCAGUUCAGACCGGGUGCUAGAAUGAGCACACUUUCUUUACCGGUUGAAAGCUUCCAGGGUCAGCCUUUUCCUUUACCCAAACCCACUCAGAGCCACUCAGGCCCAGCCCUCUGACUUCCCCAAGCUGCUAGUUAGUGCCUUUCUCAGCCGUGGGUUAGGACUCCCAGGGAGGAGGGGCUGUUGGGAAGAACAAAGAAUAUCUUCAGAGACAGAAAGCCCACUCUAAAGCAAAGGCCUGCUGAUAACUCCAGUCACUCAGUCACUCCUGACAGGAUCAAGAGGUGUUCAUUGUGCUGCUUUCCCCGGAGGAAUGCCUCUCCAGCCCUCUCCCUGGUAGCUAAGGUAAAGCCUGAACUUCCUGACUUUAGUCUCAGCCACAAGGGCUGGCUUGGGACUAGCUCCUGAAUUCCAUACCAGUGGUCUGCCCAACCCACCCGAAAAUGUGGUCCUGGUUCCUAGUCGGGUGUGUGUGGGGAGGGACGAUCAUCAGCCUGUUCGCUUUUCUAUAACACAGAGAAGUCAGGCACCUCAAUGGGCUGCAGACUACAGAAUGAAGACCUAAAACUGAGGCUUGUAUACAACUGGAAUGUGCCCUCCUUUUCUAUGCUGCUCUCCCUCUACCCUCCCUAGAAGCCCUUUUUCAGAUGUGAAACUGAUACCAAGAUUAUUUCCAGCCCUGGGAAUCUGAACCCUCUCACCUUCCUGGUAAGAACUACCCAGCUACCCAAGAAAACCUUCAGACUAUCUCAGGGCCUGAGAACAGGAAAGAGGACUCAGUCAGCAGGCUGGAAUUGAAAUAAGCCAUGAGAGGCUGUGCCAUUCCGGGCUGCACCUGUGAGCAGCCCCUCCAAUGAAGCCCUGUCAGCGUUUCCAUGACAAACUCAUAUUUCCGGAUGCUUCUCUUCCAGCUUGAAGAGCUUGUCUCUCGGCGAGGCUUGAUACUGAAAGUGCAUUCAGAUUUUCACACCCCCCCCCAAAAAAAGAUUGUACACCCCAUAAAAACUUACAACCUGGGGUUGGGGAUUUAGCUCAGUGGUAGAGUGCUUACCUAGGAAGCGCAAGGCCCUGGGUUCGGUCCCCAGCUCCGAAAAAAAGAACCAAAAAAAAAAAAAAAAACAAAAAAAAAAAAAACCCUUACAUCCUCCUUGUAUGUAUUUGCUCUUUAUUUUGAGUUUGAUGGCAUAACCUUUGUUCUGGUGAAAAUAAGCAACACACACAGAGGAAGACUCGAGGAGAACCGCUAACGACUACAUGGGGCCAGCACACAGUGUGUAAGACCUCUCUUUGCAAGAGAUCCUCUGCUUCCAUUUGCUUGUCUCAAAGCCAAAAGUGAUUUCUACUUUUGAGUUUGAAGGACUCCCCAGCUCCAGGUGUCCAUUGGCCUCUAACAGAGGCUGACUCCAGAAGGUCACCAGCUCCCAGCUGGCAAUGGAUGAGUGGAAGGAUUUUGAGGUACCUCGAAGGUCAGUGGAAGGGCAGAAAGGGCCUUUCAGUAGGAGCUUUUCACCGGCUCGACGUUGCUACUCUCCAGUACAUUAGCAUCACAAGAUCGAAACAGAAAACUCGGGUAUAUCCCAAAGUGGGAAGAAAAUGAUGUCAUAAACUGGGAGCGAGAUGUGGGCCGAGCUAUGUGGAGGCCUGAGACGAGAGAUGUGUCGUGGCCGCAAUCGCAAGGAUUAAGAAAGUUGGUCCAGUAUGGCCGUGCACCCCUUCCAUCCCAGCACUUGAAGGGCAGAGGCGGGUGAUUCUUAGUAAGUUCAAGACCAGCCUGGUCUACACAGUGAGCUCCAGGACAGCCAGGGCUAGGUAGAUACCCUGUCUCAGGGGAAAAAAAAAACACCAAAAAACAAAAAAAACAAGAGAAAGAGACUGAGACUUGCCCUAGAAGACUGCAGAAUUGCUGGGCAGGAGGUAGUCUGACAGAUUGGCAGUGAUAGUUAACCAAAGAGAUGCAGUUCCUCUCCAGGAGACUUCUCCACAGGCUGCCUAGUGUGUCCUUAUGACUGGCUCCUCUGGAGCUUCAGUCCAAGAGGGAGAACUGAGCGGACCAUAUAGAUUCUUCGUUGACCUGCUCAGAACUCGAAAUUCAUUACCUGGCUACACUUUGCAUUUAGGAGCAGGUCACCAAGUCCACUCGACCUCCCAGAGAGUAGACUGUGACUUCUGAAGGGAGGACUGCCCAGGGGAUUGAGUGAGUGAGUGCUCCACCCCAGAUUCGCAUGUCAAAGCCCUAACUCACGCUGUGGCUGCACUUGGAGAGAUGCUUCUAAAGUAGUAAUCAUAUAGGCUCACGUAACCCAGGCUGGCCUCGUCUUGUGUAACUGGGAUGAGGCUGAAGUUCCUGGCCUCUUGGCUUCAGCUUCCUAGUGUGGGUUUUAGAUCUGAGCCCCCUUGACUGGUUUAUGUGCCGUGCUGGUGUUCAAAUCUAGGGCUUCACACAUUCCAGGUAAGCACUCAACCCACUGAGCCACAACUCCAGCCCCUCAACUACUGAUAAAUGGUAAAGACGCAUUCUGAGAAAUGGGUCGGUAGGCAAUUUUAUUUUAUAAACUUAACUUGCGCAAACGAAAGAGGACUGUGACGUCACCUGAUGAUAUAACCUUAGGGGACUUCCACCCUACAUUUGGCCCAUCAUUGAUAGAAAUGUCAUUUAAUCUGCAUGACUAUAAUGAAGGUUGGAUGAGAUACUGAAGGCAAGGCUCUGCUCUGACAGGAGUCAUGUCCUCUGUGUGUGUGCGCGAACACAUAUAUGUGACAUAUGUGUUGUAUGCACACUUGUAUAGGUGGCUCUAUGUACCCCUGUGCACACAUGAGAAAAGUCAGAGGAUGGUUCUGAUGUCUUUCUCUAUUACUCUUUAUCUCUGUGUUCUUGUUUGGCUAGUUGGUUUGAGUCAUUUUAUUUUACUUUAUUUUAUUUUUUGAGAGAAAGAGAGGAUUUCUCACUGAAAUGUCUCCCUUUUGGCUGUUAGCUUAUAGAUCUAGAGCUCUACCUGGACUAUGUUAGGCUUCAAACAGGAACAAAUGGCUGAGGUCCCUAUUUAACGUAUCAAAUAGGACCUGGCCACCAGGCUGUCCCAGCAUCCCUCAGUCCCGACCUGUAACAGGGCCCUCCUAGCUGGUAUACCCCAGCCCCUAACCUCAAUUCUCCAGUUCAGGGGGCUGGGCUGCUCUUCCCUAUAUAAACCAGCCAUUCUGAUUACCCAUUCUUUGUACUUUUGGGCCUCCUGGCUGCUGCAUCUUGGCCCCCUCUCUCCCCUCUGCCUCCCCCCUACCUCUCCUCAAAUGACCUAGCUCAGUCUGGUCAUUGUCCACCUUGGACUCCCUCAGAAGUCCCUGUGCCUACCUAUGCUUUCCUUUUUCUCUGUAAUAAGCCUUCUCUUCCCCCAUACCCAAGAGCAGUAGUCAUGUUUCCCUUCGUUUUCUUUCUUUUAUUCAUUCAUUUGGUGCCGAAACCCGGAAAUGGCAUAAAUGUAAAUUCCUGACCCCAGGAACUCAGCCAUUCUGAACCAAGCAGCGGACCUGACUCUGCUAAGGUGUGCAUGGUUCACUUGUUUCCACUGGCUCCUGCCGCUCACAAAAUUUGAUUCCUAGUCCUAGAGGUUGGCCGGGUGUGGUGAUGCUCGCCUUUAAUCCCAGUAUUCCGGAGGCAGACACAGGUGAAUGUCUGUGAGUUCUAGGCCUAUCUGGUCUACAGAGAGAGUUCCAGAACAGUCAAGAACACAGAACACAGAGAGACCUUAUCUUAAAAGUAAAAAACAAACCAACCAAACUUUUGAGUCCAAUUCUUCAGCUGGUGUCCCCUCUCCCUGCUCUUUCUCCUGCUGCCUCACCUCUCCUUCUUUAGUGGAUAAAUAUCACCCCUAGCUGCCAUUUUUGCCUGCUACAAUUGCGACACAGGUGUGUCAGGAAGCUCCUUUCUCCCUCACUGGGCUCCAGUCACAAGGACCAGGGACACCUCUUUGUAAUUUGAAACAUCUUUCUCCUGGACAAAUUUACUGUUCUACUUGGGGAUGCCCCGACGGAAAUUCUUGCCACCUCUGCACUUGACACUAUCCACUUCAGCUACUCCCAUCUCUUAGCUCUGGCCUGCUACGCCCAUCUGGCUCUCUUUAGCUUUCUCUUGCCUUACAACCUGCCUGCAGUGCCACUAUGCUAUCCCUUGCUCCAGCCUGCAGUGCCACUAUGCUAUCUUUUGCUCCAUGCAGUGCCACUAUGCUAUCCCUUGCUCCAGCCUGCUUGCUUGCAUGCUCUCCACUCCUUUUUGGAGCUUCUAGAACAUACCCUCCCCUGCAUGUGCCAUUCUCUCUCUCUCUCUCUCUCUCUCUCUCUCUCUCUCUCUCUCUCUCUCUCCUCUCUCUCUCUCUCUCUCCCUCCCUCCCUCCCUCCCUCCCUCCCUCCCUCCCUCCCUCCCUCCCUCCACAGGCUCAUAUUAGUGCUACAGCUUGGCCUCAGUACAGAUCAAUGACUAGCACACAACGAUCCCAAAGUCUCUGACACCUCAAGUUCUACAACUUGACAAUCUCAAAAUUCUUUGCUCUCUCUAAUUUCUCCGCUCUGCUCUUAAAAAAAAAAAUAAUCUCUCAGGACUAUGCUAUAUCUUACAAAUAUUUUGUCUUAAGAUUUGUAAAUUCGGACUGGAGAGAUGGCUCAGUGGUUAAGAGCACUGAUUGCUCUUCCAGAGGUCCCUGAGUUCAAUUCCCAGCAACCACAUGGUGGCUCACAACCAUCUGUAAUGCCCUCGUCUGAUAUGUCUGAAGACAGUAGCUACAGUGUACUCCUAUACAUACAAUAAAUAAAUUUUUUUAAAAAAACUUACAACAAAAGGCUUAUAAUUAAAACCUAAACAUAAGAAUUUUAAUUUGUCGCAACAUCUUAUAUAUGUGAUUUAAUACUAGUGUAGAAUAUACCAUAUAUGUAACAUAGAUUCAACUCUUGUUUAGGAAAAAUUGUAUUUGAAUAGCAACCAUGUAGUUCUCCUCCAUCUUGGUGAUAACCUUUACCAAGAUGUAAGCAACCAAAUGCUGGCAGCCAUUUGUGUCAUGUGACUUCACUGUCUUCAGAUGACCACAUGGUUUAAAACGAUUAUAUAUAAAACUUCUCAGGCCUACUGAGCCCCGCCUUUAUCGUUGAUCAUCUUUUCUAGACUGAGGAAAGAACAGCCCUAAACAGUCUCUAAAAUAUUUUGGAUUGGUAUGGAUUUUUGUCUGAUGACAAAAUUUAAGUUAUAGAGGUUUACUCAGAUUAACAAAAGCUGAUUUAAGAUAUAUGCCUUAACUAUUUAUGCCUUUGCUAGUUGUUCAACACCAGGCUUCUAGAGAAUUUAGAUAAGUCACAACAUACAUUUGAUAAAUAAGGGGUGCUCGCUUCGGCAGCACAUAUGCUAAAACUGGAACGAUAAAUAAGGUAUAUUUGAUAGUAAGGUUAUCAAUCUGUAAGGUCUACUUAGGUCCACAGUGGUAUCUAACUUUUUCAUCUUUGUUCACGGCAUUAAGCUUUAGCUAUUUGGAGAAACCAAGUCAUAUGAAAAAAAUCAUAAUAAUUCUAUUUGGAUGCUGAAGGUGAUCCAAUUAAAUCUUCAACUCCAACUAUUAAGACGCAAACCCAACAGGGAUAAAGCUCUAAAAUCCUAACCUUAUAUAAGCUACCAGCUUAUAAGCUAUUCAUUUAGUAACAAGCUUUAGUUAGCUCCCUAUAAGUAUACUUAAUAAAGAGGCGGCCCUCAAACACUUCAGAGAGCUUCUGAAUAUGGCAUUUAAAAUGCUUAGGCUUCUGUGGGGCUGGAGGGAUGGCUCAGUGGCUAAGAGAACUGGCUGCUCUUCCGGAGGACCAGGAUUGAAUUCCAGCACCCACCGUGGUAGCUCAAAACUGUCUGUAGCUCCAAGAUCUGACACCCUCACCUAGAUAUACAUUCAGGAAGGACACCGAUGCACAUAAAAUAAGAAAUAAAUUAUUAAAAUGUUUAAGCUUCUGUGGAGAGCUUUCGGGGCUGCUUCUAGGAAUUUGGCAGGAAUUUGACAUUGGGCUAGGACAAGGAAGUAGGCUCAAGAUGAGUACAGCUGAGGACUGUGUUCUUUGUGUCCUGAUGGGUCUGGUUAAGACUCUGAAUACAGUAAUCACAGGACCUUUGUUUAUGCUUUGUUUGUUCCUUAACUACUCUGUUUAUGCCUUAGGACUGACCAUAUUCUUUGUAUGUAUCUAGAGUGAUAUAAAAGCAGACUGGAAAAAAAUUAAACACGCUUCAGCCUCAGCACUGGGCUGGAGGCAUGUUAUAAUGUUGUCUAAUUGUCUUUUUCUUUUCUCCCUCCUCCCUGGAUACUCUGUUGACUGACUGAGCUGGCUUGGUCAAACUUCCCCUAAUAGACAGAACUGCCUCCUAGCGGGAACCCCAUGGUCUCCAAAGAAGAUAUACGGAUAUACGAGGCACAAGGACUCCACCAGGAUUGUGGUAGUGCUAACCACUGGGAUAAACUGUUCCAUGCCUCAUCUGCUGUCAGUGCUCUUCUCAAACUGUGGGCAUUUUUUUUGGGUUGAUUGCCCUAUUUUGCCUGGUCAAAGUAAGGUCAGUUCUCCCAAGUUCCCCUUUAGGAAAAAAAAAUCUCUCAGAUCUGACAGCCAAAGGCCUAUGCUCCUCUGUAUGACAGCUAAAGAUUUGGCUAUGUGAUGGCCGAAGACUAACCACUGCCCCCAACGAAACUCUGAAGACCACUGGACCCCAAGGUAACCCGUCUCAUGUAAUGGGGAAGUCUCUGUCAUUCCAGGUAUAAUCUCUCCUCAGAUCUCUGAGGAUAUGGACUGACUGUAGCUUUAACAGCAACAAGCAUACCAGCUCCUCCCCCAAGGCUUCAGCUGCCUUCCCAGUUCUCUUCCUAGGUAAAGACCAGGCCUGAGGCCUCACUCACCUAGAGUUUCUGCUGUAGAGAUUCUGGGCCUUGCUACCAGGCUCCAAAAAGAGAUAAACUCACUAAAGAGGUUUCAAAGUAACUUUUUACCAUUCCUUUCUUUUUUUCUUUUUUUUUUUUUUUUGGAGCUGGGGACCGAACCCAGGGCCUUGGGCUUGCUAGGCAAGUGCUCUACCGCUGAGCUAAAUCCCCAACCCCACCAUUCCUUUCUUUAAGGGGACUCUUUGCAAUAACUGCACUCCUGCAGUCACCCCUGGGUCCUCAUGGUAAACAACAGGAUGUAAAAGAAAAAGUGAUUCAAUCUUUAUUAAGACUUCAAAAGUUCAGAGUUUAAACAUUAAUCAGCGGAGUUCUGAUAAGCCAUCAAUCUAGCUCUGCUAAAGUACUUGUUAAUAGUAUCGUAGUCAAAUUUAAAAUGUUAGAUUUUCCUUUGGUCGUUUCCUAAGUACAGACUUAAAAAUGCUUCUCAGUUUGCCAAAGGCAUCUCUGUCCAGUCUAUAUACACAGCACUCUGGAGAGAGUGUUCAUGCUUCUAACCCAAAAUCAUUUUGGCAUUCCCACACUUUUACUUCCAUUCAGAGGCACGAGUCUACUGCUCUUUCCCACAGUGCAGAUUUCAGUACAUAUUACAAAAGUGGUGAUGCUAACAACAUCAGAACUUUUGUUUUUAUAAUCUUAAAAAAAAAAAAAUCUUGUAAGCUGCUGGACCCACCUCUCACAGGUCAAAUGGACCCCAAAUAAGUACUCGUGUCAAACAACAGCCUAAAUUUUAAUGCCCACUGCCUGUUCCUGAGGGUGGGAUCUUUCUCCCUUUUCCUGAUCUUGGAGCUCCCCUCUCCAGCUACCUUUGAGGACCCUGGGCCUCAAAGUUUCAAAUGUGCACCCAGGAUAAACUUUCCCUUCUUCUCCUAGUCUAUCUGUCCCAGUUGAUUCCAGAUCCGACUAGUCCCCAGCUCCGGGUGCUCCCCCACAACCCACAUCCCAAGCAGCUUCAAGGAGGCUAGCCCCAGGUAAUCCAGCCUCACAAGCUACUCCACAAGGUCCUGCAGAGCCUGGGCAGCCACUUUUCCCAGUCUCAGCCAGCGCACCAGCUUCUUUAGCACACCCCCACCCCUGACGCCCCGCCCUGACAAUGAUGCUCCAAAGUCAGCAGGAAAUAGUAAGAGAGGAGAUUAUGUAUGUGUCCUCCCAUACCAUUCAUCAAUUAUCAACAAAAAGGCUUAGGUUUUUGUUUGUUUUUUUUUUAAUUAACAAACAAACAAAUAGGUCUCGGGUUGGGGAUUUAGCUCAGUGGUAGAGUGCUUGCCUAGCAAGCUCAAGGCCCUGGGUUCGGUCCCCAGCUCUGAAAAAAAAGAAAAAAAAAAAAAAAGAAAGUAAAAAGAAAGUAAAAAAAGAAAUAGGUCUCAAACCUGGGACAAAUGGUGAAGGUGCCUACUAAAGGACCUGGCCUCCAGGUUCUCCCUGCAUCUCUUAGUCACUACCUGUUACAGGGCCCCUGACUAGUAUACCUCACCCGUCUAACCCUGAACUCUCCAGCCCAGGGCUCUGGGCUGUUCCUCCCUAUAAAAUCCACCUGUUUUGGUUACCUGAUUUUUUUUUAUUAAUUAAUUAUUAUUAUUUUUUUUUGUACCUUUGGGCCUCCUGACUGCUACACCUGGUUCCCUUCCCCUCCCUCUCCAUUCGCCUCCUUUCUGCCCCACCUCUCCCCUUCUUCUCUCCCCUCUCUUUUCCCCUCUCUAGUCCUCCCCACAUGACUCAGUUCAGUCUGGUUAUGUACACAGACCCUGGACUCUCCCAGAUGUCCCUGCCUCGGCCCAUACUCUUCCACCUGUCUAUAAUAAACCUUCCCCCACCAUAACUACGAACAGUCACA